UGGGGGAUAUUGCACAAUGGGCGAAAGCCUGAUGCAGCGACGCCGCGUGGGGGAUGAAGGCCUUCGGGUUGUAAACUUCUUUUGCUCUGAACAAGGCAUGCUAAUGGGUGUGUUGAGUGUAGGGGUUGAUUAGCGCCGGCUAACUACGUGCCAGCAGCCGCGGUAAUACGUAGGGCGCGAGCGUUGUCCGGAAUUAUUGGGCGUAAAGGGCUUGUAGGUGGCUGGUUGCGUCUGUCGUGAAAGCUCAUGGCUUAACUGUGGGUUUGCGGUGGGUGCGGGUUGGCUGGAGUGCAGUAGGGGAGGGUGGAAUUCCUGGUGUAGCGGUGGCAUGCGCAGAUGACAGGAGGAGUACCGGUAGCGAAGGCGGGGCUCUGGGCUGUUACUGACACUGAGGAGCGAAAGCAUGGGGAGCGAACAGG
rnacentral:rRNA from 1 species